GAAAUACUCCCUCCGUCCCAAAAUUCUUGUCUUAGAUUUAUCUAAAUACGGAUGUAUCAAGUCACGUUUUAGUAUUAGAUACAUCCGUAUGUAGACGAAUCUAAGACAAGAAUUUUGGGACGGAGGGAGUAGCAU
rnacentral:pre_miRNA from 1 species